AGGAUCCCCUGGCAGAGUAAAUGAGGGUUUUUAUUACCAGUGGGGACACCUCGGGGCUUUCAUCCAGUAAUCCCCCUGGCUUGUGCAUUUAGCACAACUCACAGCAAGGUGCAGAAAACAACAAAAAAGAAUGCUUCUGAUAAAUCAUUUGGUUAAGUAGCCUUUAAAAGCUGCUGUUUUAGUGCUGAAGGAACAGCCUGCCACUCCUGUACAGUGCGGUGGUGAUUCAUCUCUGUGCUGCUGAGAGCAGCGUCGAAGCUGUGUGUCAAAGCACUGCAGCUCCUUCUCCUUUGUGUUUUAGACAUCUUUUCCUUCCUUGGCUCUCUAAUCUCCUAACUCUGCUUGUUCUGAGUGAUCUGCACUUGGAGUGACUCUGCUUGUUUUUGGCAAGACCUAACAGCAUCCACCUGGAAGCCUGCAGAAUUUUGUGAUGAAAGCAGGGCGACUCCAGCAGGGAGUUUGACAGGCACCUGGAAUCAUUUCUCAUGGAAAGUGACUCUAGGAAGGAAACAAAAAAGGUCCUGAGGACUUCCCCAGCACUUGGAGUAAACCAGAAAGAACUGCAAGUCUUACCACAAAUCUGCAUCUCGUAGAGGUGAUCAUCAAAGGCUAUGCAAUUAUCAGACUGAGUGGUGUGAAGUUUACCAGGACAUCCUAUGAUUAUUAUUAUUUUUUUAACAAAAGUCGUAUUACUAAAUCACACGUGUGCUUCAGAACAUCCUUGGAGCUUGGAUUCAUAGUCUGAGAAUCUAUUUUCCACCUGUUUUCCCACCUAUGUGAAAAAAAAGUUGUUUAUAGCACCUCCCUUUCUCCCCUGUGGACACUCAGUUUCCUUGCUGCAAUAGAGCGAUGUGGAAGGAUGGAUUUGGGAACCUACUGCUUUAGAGAGCUUCAUGGGAACAGCAGAGGAAGAAGAUGAAAGCAUGUGGAAACAGAAACCCCUGUGCUCUGUGAUGUGAUGUGGCUGGGUGUGAUGGUGUCUGAUGUGAAGUCUGACUCUGUCUGAGCAAAUGAUUAAAGAAUAUUUUCUACUGCACUUGCAGAAAGGGUUGUAAGGGAAAUAAAUGUUUUGGUGGUUUUGGCAGAGGCUUGGUUUUUAAUAAAAUUGCACAAGGUUAAUCAGGAA
rnacentral:lncRNA from 1 species